CCCUUAGAUGUUCUGGGCCGCACGCGUGCUACACUGACCGGCGCAACAAGCUUUUUUCCUUGGCUCGAUAGGUCUGGGUAAUCUUUGAACGCUGUUCGUGAUUGGGAUAGACCUUUGCAAUUAUGGGUCUUCAACGAGGAAUUCCUAGUAAACGCAAGUCAUCAGCUUGCAUUGAUUACGUCCCUGCCCUUUGUACACACCGCCCGUCGCACCUACCGAUUGAAUGGUCCGGUGAAAUCUCGGGACGGCGGCUUGGUCGCUUGCGUCCGACUGCUGAAACUUGAUUAAACCAUAUCAUUUAGAGGAAGGUGAAGUCGUAACA
rnacentral:rRNA from 1 species